UUUUUUUUAAAUGGGAAAUUUGCAAAGUUAAGGUAGCAUUAACCUCCUAUUUGGGUAUAUAUAAUAGAAAAUGCUUGAACUUCUGGGACAGCAGCUAUUUCUAUGGAUACAGUAUGUUGAACAGACAUGGAACAAAGAAAACCAAAACAGUUGGUUCUCUGCUGUCAAGGAAACAAGCUGCUCUUUCUGCUUAAAUAUCUUCUACCAAAACUAGAGGGAAAAAAAUCCUCCAAAACUCGAGUUCACACUUAAAAAGAAGUCUGACUUACAGGCACUAAAUGAAUUCAUUUUCAGAUAUUUGAGAGAGGGAUACUGUUGUGUCUGAAAUGGAUAAAUUGGCAUAUAUAUCCUUGAGAGCCCCUAAGGUUGAAGUUAUUCUUAAAGAAAAGGUAAAUGUUAAAUCAUUUUUGGGAACAGUAGGAGUCCAGAAAGAAAGUGAGAAAACAUUCUGCAGUGUUCUUGUUUUUUGUGCUGCAUGCAGAUGACUUAUUUAGAUUACAUUUGGUUAUUUGUGAUCCUGUAUUUCAACCGCCUUUUUUGCACCUAUUUAAUCUACUCAGUACUUUGUACUUUAAAAUAAUGGAAACUAAACUUCUUAUUUGUUGAAUAAGAGAAAAUUUUAAUAGAUACACUUCUUUCAGAAGUAUUAAAAAAGGUGCUCUGAAUAUAAGUAUUUCUUCUCUAAAAAAGCUGCAGAUUCUUCUAUAUGACACUUCCAAUGUAUAGAUGACACGGGAGACAGCAGCUACUCAGAAAUGUGCUUAAGGUUACAUGAAAAAAAAUAAUCUAUAGGAGAAAAAUGCAAUUUCUCCUACUUUUUUUAAAUCUUGGAUUUGCCUCCUGGUGAGUGACAUGGGUUCUGGUUUGAAUAAGCUUCAGUAGGAGCUCCUGCACUUCUGUGGAGAAUAUUGACUCUCAGGGAGCACCGCAGAGGAAAACUGGUCUCUACUAACACUGAAAAUUAUCCUAGGAAAGAGGCUGUAUUUUGCCCUGUACCUCAUAAAAUUAGUCCGUGGCAUUUCAAGAUACAUAAGUAGACGCAAAAUGUCCAGUGAACUUUGACACAAGUUCAUAGACAUGAUUUACUUAUUCGACCAGAUUUCCAAUUUAAACCAGGGUAUACAAAGGAGAUUGAAGGCAAAUAAUCUGUUGUUUUAGAAUCAUUUUUGUUUAUGGACCAUGAAGGCAUUCUCUGGCAUGUUUUAUAACACCACUGAUGGGUUUACAUGUAUGAUGGUUGGUUACUGGGUGACCUCCCAAGAAUGGGUGCGCUCCACAUGCUAUGUUCUUUGCACAGGUAAUAACAGAAAAGACCUCAGCCUUCUGUGAGCAGGAAGUAAAAUAAAACCUAUCACCAUACUCUGACUGUGGGCUACAGGUGUAUAGAGGAACCAGGGUGUGUAAAACAAUCCUGUACCCAGAGUUACAAUCUACCUUAGCAGGAACUUAUAAAGAAAUUCAGUGUAUUUGGCCCUCUGUGUACAAGUGAUAAAGAUCGGAUUUGGAGAGAAUUGCCAUGAAAUUCUCUGCUCCUUAUAAAAGAGACUAGAAAUAAGGCCUUUUCUCGGGUAUUUUCUCUUGCUUUAUUAACUUUGUUUGUCUUGUAGGCUAGAAUUAUCUUCAGUAAUCUCUUAAGGCAGGAGAAGUUGAUAUAUUUGAAAGGCAUACUCUGAAAAAUCAUUAAAGGUGCCAUACACAAUCCUACUAAAAUAAAAAUUCCCACAGAAGACCUCAUACUCAUCCACAAUUAACUGUACAAUGUCUUCUUCACAAGUUCAUGGAUUAUAAAAUUAUGUGAAAUAACCUUAAGUUUGAAUUCCCUGGCUUCUCUUGCUUUGUUUAGACGCUAUUAUAAGAGAAAUGAGGGGUGGGUUUGGAGGGGAGGGCUAGUUUGUACAAUUCUGAAUAUUUGAGCUGUGCUUAAUCAUCCUCAUGUGUGAAAUCUUUUAUUUAAAAAAAAAUAAAAAUCAGUUUAUCUGAUACUUACUGCUCUUUAGUACAGCACAGCUUGGUAGCACUAGGUACGUCUUGUCGAAAGUAUGUCCAUAAAUAUGUCCCUUGCAGCACAGAACAGCUUGUUAACUUGGCAAUCCUCAGCAAUUUGCUUUGAAAAGUUUGCCUCAGUUUUGAUAGUCCAAAUGUAGGGCAAAAACUCAAACUAACUUUUUAGCUAAUUUUACCAAUUGACACUUUCCACCCAGUUUUAACUGCCUGUUUGCUAGAACAAUGACUGCAACGCCUCCUCCUCCUUAUUUAAUAAGCUGUUUGGUUUUUGUUGUUGUUGCUUUUUUGUUUGUUUGGCAAAGUUCUUCAUUUUUAAGGGGCAAGGAUUACUGAUUUUCUGUUUUCCUAAUAUGCAACUGAAAAAAAGGAGCCCGUUAUCUUGACGAAAUAUUAUUCUAUUAUUUUAACUGUACGUAAAUAAAAGGGGCAAUGGGUUGCCACUAAGGACUAUGUUUGGCGAUGGCGUGACUAUGAAUUUGCAGUGCUUUCAGUUGGAAGAGAAGAACAAAAGUGGGCAAAUGCUAUCUGUCCUUCUCUCACAGAUGGGGAAAAUGAGGCACAGAGAGGAGAAGUAAACUGCUCAGUGCUCAAAGGCUACAGAGUGUCUGUAGCUUUAAGAAAAGCACAGAUUUUUGCAUGGAUAUAUUUAAAAAUAUCUACAUUCCUUUUCUUUGUUUUAUUAAAGCUUUUGGCCAGCUUUGCUGAAGAUCUUUUAGAAUGUGAGAAUGGAAGUAGAUGCCUACAUUAUUUCUAUACCAAAGACAUUAGGCUGACUUAUGGGAGAAACCCUGAAGUGAAAACUCUUGAGUCCAUGUUCUAAUUUAACCACAUGAGGACUGCGACUGGAGAUUCUUCAAACUAGACCAGACUAAAGGAUCAGGACCAGUCCCUCCUAGCAACAGCCCUUUUCUCUGCCUGCUACAUGGACCAGGCCAUGUUAAGUUCACCAGUUUCCCAAACCAUAUUUAUAGCCAGGAGGAAGACUUACGUCUGCCCUGGGGAGCUGUCGUUUCCUUCUACCAAUGCACUCAAGUGGUACAUGUUGAAGGCAUGUCUGAGGGACUGAGGGGGAAGAUGCAGAAGGAAAAUAGCAUCCCUCAUCUCACACCCAAGUGAAGAGUUUAUGCUAGCGAGAGCUCUGUAAUCUCUUGUCCAGCGUGUCUGGACAAAGAGUGGAAAUUAAUUUAAUGGGAGAUGCCAACAAAAUCACCGCAAUGAAAAAAUACAGGAAACUGCACUAGAGAGGAUGGCUCUGCUGCAACCAAUUUCUGGUGAUGCCACUCAGCAGGGAAGAACUGGAGCAAAGGACCUAUGUGUGUCUCCCUUCCUUGGUGGUUGCACUCCAUCAGUGCUAACGAUCUACCCAUCAGCUGCCAGGCCCUGCGUGACCACCCUUCUCAUCUCAGCCACCUGCUGAUCCCCAGUCACUCCGCCGAGAGAGAAAGAAACAAAGAAAGCAAAGGGAAGCUACCUGUUUGUAAUUGAAUCACUUACUUAGAAGAGAGGAACAGCAUUGGACUGGUCCUUGGUGGCCGAUACAGCUUGCAGCAGCAGAGCUGUCUCCACAGGCAAUUUCUGAUUUUCACUCCUGCUCUCCAUACAGUUUUAACUUUAAAGAAGUUCCUUACCAACUGGAGUAUGAAUAAAGAGAAAUCACAGGGAACAGUGGAAUGAACGUAAAGGAAAAGACCAAGGGAUAAUCAAUGUUGAUGACAGCUGAAGAAGACUGUAUUUGCCGAAGAGCAGCAUGACGGUAGAGAGGAGAGGAGCUCCUGAGGGAGAUCUAAUGGUGCCUCUCCUUCCUGCACAGAGAUAAAGACUUAUAAUAAGCGUGUAUGUUCACCAUCUGGCUCUGUGCAUGUGGUCCUUAUGGAGGCGAAAGCAGCACAAUCUGUAAAUGAUCAGGAGCCAUCGCACUCUCUCCAGAGAAUCCACGAUGCAAUCAAGGUGACAGAUGGCAUGGCCGCUGCUGUGGCCUCAUGGAGAAGAUCAAAAUCACCUUCAAUAAACUCUGACUGAAAUGGGCAUGAGCACCUCAAAAAAGUCAGUUUGUCAGUCAAACUGCGACAGCAAGCUGCAUUGGGGAAACAUAGCGGCCAGCUCUCUGUUUUCAAUCGUUUCCGUCUGACUGAGCCUGAACUAUGAUCUUUCUCAAAUUGUCCUUUCUGUUUAGCUGAAGCAGGCCAGCAAAUUGCCAGAUUCAUAGCUUUAUUGAAGGAAAUUGAAAACAUGAUGUCCUCAAUUCAAGGGACAAACAGCUGGCAGGUGCUUGGACACCCAGGCACAUAAAAUGGACCCCUAGUCUUUUGGACAAGUUUGGACAACUUUUGUCAGAAUAAAUAUAGAUAUAUAAUAAAAUAGAUAUCAUAAAAUUCCAAUUUAGGCAGGGUUUAUCAGGCAUUAGUUGACAGCUAUUAUAUGAUUGCAAAUGAACCCUGCACUGUAUUAAGUGCUGGAUUUUCCUAUUUAUGCUAAAAAUACUGCAUAAUAUAGUGAUUUUAAUCACAAUUUUAUACUGCUAAAUAUAGUGAUUUUUGUUUCCCCAUUUUGUUCCACCAUGUUUUGAGUCUUUUUGCCACAACAGCUUACCGGGUAGAGCCAUAAGGAUGCAAUCCUGCAAAGUGCCCAAGAACCCUGGCGAGGUGACUCAGCAUCAGAUCGGGAGCCAGACCCUGCAAAAUAUUCAGCAAACUGAACCCUCAGCCUUCAUUCAUACCAACAGGAGCCCCAAAAGCCACCAGCCUAACUUCCAUCUUGUGAAAGUAGGUUUACUCUAUCCUUGACUUUAUUCACUCCAUUUUUUUUUCAGGAAAGCUGAAUUAAUGCUACUUGCCUCCGUUUUCAAGCUCACUCAUGAAGGCCUGGCUGAAGCAAGGAUGUGAUGGGAGAUGACAGAGGAAGAGAAGGAUGGCCUUCCUCCCAUCCAUGGGGUCCUGCCCCAAGGUCUUCCCAGCACCCGCCACGGGGCUGUGUCGGUACGAGGAGUGGAUGGAUGGCUGCAUCCCCACUCGGCAUGGCAGAUGGUCACUGUCUUUCUCAGUUUGCUCGCGUGCAUGUUGGGUUUUCUACCACCACAUUUUAAAAUGUCCCCAUCGCCCUUAGCCUUUCCAGCUACUUGUUUUUAUCUUUGUAACUCCUUAAAUAUUCUACAGACUCCUUUGUCCUGGCAGUGUAUCUUCUCUAGAUUUCAAGAAGUCCCUGCACUUAUCCCUCUGUUCAACAGAGCACUAUCAAAUGUAAUUUUUGUUAUUAUUAUUUUUUUUUUUUCCAGUUGGGUGAGGAACACGGGGCACAUUUUAAACUCCAUCUUCCUGUUCCAUCUGACUGAUCUUGCACCUGUAGCUGACCAUAUAUUGCUGGUUUGCACAUUUUAUGCCUGCAAAAUAAACAACUAAGUAUUUUGUUUUUGUACUGGCAACUCCAUUUCUCUCUAACUGUGUCACAUUUUUUCAUGCACAAGAGAAGAACUAUGCCUUCUCUCACCAGCACACAGACACCAGGAGACUAGGAGAAAAUGUCCUGAUGUAAGACCAUCAUUCUCACCAGCCAGAAUGGUAUUUUGCUACUCCAGCUCUCUGGGAACUGAAUGAAAAAAAUUGGCAAACUUGGAUCUGAUUAAGAGAAUCUGUUGAGAGAAUGGGAAGGAAGCUUUAAAACAAGUGGGGCAUCUAACCUCUCUGUUUGACUAGCGGUCAUAGAGUCUUGCAUUCCUUUUUCUGUGAUGUGGUAUCAGGGACCACAGUAGACCAGGUGUAUGAGCAGUUUGUCCCAGAACUGGAACUUUCACAUUUGUCUGUUCUGGUGGUGUUCAGUCCAUCCUCAGGGAAACAUCUGAGUAUUGCAUGGACAUUUCCUCCGGUACAGUCUGAAGGACAGUACAAAUACAGUAGUGUAAGGAAUCCAUGAGCAGGCAAUAGCACUAUAAGAUUGAGGUUUUCGUGUGAAAAUAUCAAAGCAUCCCAAUAGCUGACUUUAUUAUGGCAACCAACCAAUGUGUAGUGAGACACUGAGUCAUUCUAAUGCUAAGGUUUUGAAACUAUUUUGGAAAAUUAAUGCACUUGCCACAAGCAACCACCCAAGUUGAGGUCUUCCUAAAUCAUAGUUUUCAUUCUUUGGACUAUCUUCUUCUGCUGUUUUAUUUGCAGUCUGUUUCUUGCGCUGACUUGUGUGCUGCUCACAACAAAAGCAUCAGGGAAGACUGCUCUGCACUUACCAUUAUGAAAGAUAAUUCCAGGUCAGGUAAUUUGGUUGAAAAGCCUCAGUCUGCAAUUACUUUGUGGAGAGCCCUUGUUCCAAAGCGUAUUUUCUCCUGCCUUGAACUUCAGAAGUCCACUGCAAAGGCUUUGUCUCCUACUAGAAAAAAGGCACUCAAGUGGGUUCAUGUACCAGAAGAUGAAUGAAAUUACCUUCAGACGCUAUUUUGAGUAUCAUAAAUGGUUUUUGUUUAGUGCGUGAUCUAAUGCAUGUCACAUAGAACACUGUGGGUUACAAUAAACAAAUGUACUAGAUCAACCAAGAACAAGUCAGGUCCAAAGGAAAUUUGCUGCUACAUGGCUCAGAAAUCUGGAGGUCUUUCUCCUACAGAGAGAUUUAGUGAAUAUGCAGAAAUUCGUUUCAUAUGUCAUGAGAAAGGAAAACACAUAGGUUCUUAAAUAAUUGAAUGAAGUAAGGGAAAUUUAAGGCUGGGAAUGCUUUUGUCCUUGAAUGUUCUUUUAUUGUAUUCCAAAUAGGAACUUCAUGUCAUGGACCUGUGAAUACAAAGUCUGUUUUUAAAUCUCUACUUCUUGCAUGACUGACACUUACAUUUCAGUAACAUCUUUCAAGAUCUCCUUUGUGCACAUUUAUUUUGAAAUAAUGUAUCGAACCUUUAAAACCUUAUUAGAAAAUUUUUGCAGCAAUUACACUCCCAGAUUCCAUGAUCAACACAUAAACUGAUUGUCCCUUAGUUUAAUAUGACCUUACAUCAUGACAGCAUAAAUACGACAGUAACUGUCAGAAAUUAAACAGCUUUUGUACAAUGUACUCCGGUUAUUUUGUUACACAUUGAUGGAGGGGUUAGUUGAUUAGAAAAGGAAAAUGUUUUGUUUUCUGGAAGAAAAAUACAGAAUUUGGGACCUAGCAACGUUGCCUGGGGAACGUUUAAUAAUAUUGCCAUGCCUGCAACGUACCAGGGAGAUGAACUUUCCAGCUAUGCCUAGAAAUCCAGGAUCACUCCUUACCCUCCUUUUGUUUGUCUGCUUGCUUCAUUUUCUUAAACUUCAUUCUGCUUAGGCCAUUUAAUAGUAAGAAAAGCAUUCUACUUGAAUCUUCUUUAGAAAUCUUUGAAAAUUGAAGGAAAUCAGGAGGAAGGGAAUAUCAACCUAGAGCAACCCAAUCUCAGGAGUGGAGUCUCUUCCAUUGGCAGCUCAGGGUAAUUUCCAUUUCAGUUCCCCAGACAGCUUUAUGGGGAAAUGGGAUGUUCUACUUCCAUGGUUAUCACUGCAGCAAAGGCAAUGAAAUACCCCCUUAAGAGGAGGUCAGUAGAGUCCACUAGCAAGAGCAGGAGAUUUCAAUGGAAAAAGAGGAUGAGAAAAUUGAAAUAAAGGAUGAAUUUCAAACAACAGUGCCAGUACUUCAUACAUAUGAAUGAAUUUCAUCUACCAAAAGUACCUCGUAGAGGGGGAAAAGAUUAAUUCAUAAACAUAGCAGAUAUCUUGUGCAUGUGAACUAGAAUGAAUGUCUCACAUUACUCUGAUCAGCUACCACCUGGAAAGAGGAACGGUGAUCAUAACAUUCUACUGUGAAGUUUUCUUUUAAAAUUCUGGGGACAUUUUGCACAGCCUGAAUAGGGGAGUAUGCUGGUACCAGUGGAAAAAAUUGAAAUUAAGAGUAAAUUGGAAUUGUGAAGUGGCUAUUUGGAAGUAUUUGAAUGUUUGGAUUAGACUGCAAAAGUUACUACAGGCAAAAAGGGGAUGCUUUGCAUAUACUUCUUUCAUUUGUGCAGGGGGACCCAGAAUUACCAUUACAAAAACUAGAGAUAUAGAGUUGUGGAUGGGAUUAUACAGUCACAAAAUGCUCACAUUUGAUGCCAUAAGCACUGUAACCAUAUCCCCAUUUGGAAAGGUCAAUUUUCACAGUGGUCUCAGCCCGAUUUCUAAUUGUUUGAACAUAAAAUCCUGUAAUUGCUCCUAUGGUGGGAGCAAAUUAGUGAACUUAGAAUGGUCUAUCUAAAAUCAGAAACUAGGAGCUGAAAAUAUUCCUGAUGACAGUGGUAUAUUUCAUGUUACAAAUGUAUCAGAACCCUUAGAACAUCAGGUACUUGCAUCCAUAUUUUGACAGCAGCUGCUACAUCUGGGCGGUAGGUAGAGCCUGCUCUUACCUACCUGCAGCUCCACCAGAGGCAAAAGAAUGGAGGUCUUAUAAGAAGAGAUGCAUUGCUUUGUAUGAUAAAAGGUACUUUCUUUGUCUGGCAAACCACUCCUUUUGUAUGCACACCAACCAGAUGGCCAUUUCAGUUUGUCUCCGGCUGUGAAUCAGACAAUAUGGCAGAAUUGAGGGAAAAGCAAAACCUUCCCCUCCACCCCUCCUCUCUGUACAUAAAAUUAGAAAUCAACAACCUUUGGGGAGAUUUAAUUUUAAUACUUCAUUUCUUUGAUAAUUUAGGGCCCUUUGACUUAGUCAGUUACUGUGCAUUAUUCUUUUUAAGGUGGGAAUGUUAGCUAAAUGUUCAAAUAUUGGGAGAUAAGGGAAAAAAAGGAGAAGAGGGAGAUUAUGUAAAGGAGAGGUAGGAAGGGAAAUGU